rnacentral:rRNA from 1 species
AUUGAACGCUGGCGGCAGACCUAACACAUGCAAGUCGAGCGGAUGAAGGGAGCUUGCUCCUGGAUUCAGCGGCGGACGGGUGAGUAAUGCCUAGGAAUCUGCCUGGUAGUGGGGGAUAACGUCCGGAAACGGGCGCUAAUACCGCAUACGUCCUGAGGGAGAAAGUGGGGGAUCUUCGGACCUCACGCUAUCAGAUGAGCCUAGGUCGGAUUAGCUAGUUGGUGGGGUAAAGGCCUACCAAGGCGACGAUCCGUAACUGGUCUGAGAGGAUGAUCAGUCACACUGGAACUGAGACACGGUCCAGACUCCUACGGGAGGCAGCAGUGGGGAAUAUUGGACAAUGGGCGAAAGCCUGAUCCAGCCAUGCCGCGUGUGUGAAGAAGGUCUUCGGAUUGUAAAGCACUUUAAGUUGGGAGGAAGGGCAGUAAGUUAAUACCUUGCUGUUUUGACGUUACCAGCAGAAUAAGCACCGGCUAACUUCGUG